rnacentral:lncRNA from 13 species
CCUCUCCCUCCCUCCCCCCUCUCUCCCUCUCUCUCUCUCUCCAGAUUGCGUAUUGAGGCCCAGAAGGAGGAAAACAUACACCAUGAAUAAAUUAUCUGGUCUCUAAAUAAUGCUGUGUGCUGUUAACUUCUCUAGGGUUCUUAAACUAAACCCCAUCUGAUCAACUGUUCCUUCUCUAAAUAAUGCUGUGUGCUGUUAACUUCUCUAGGGUUCUUAAACUAAACCCCAUCUGAUCAACUGUCCUUCUCUAAAUAAUGCUGUGUGCUGUUAACUUCUCUAGGGUUCUUAAACUAAACCCCAUCUGAUCAACUGUCCUUCUCUAAAUAAAGCUGUGUGCUCCUAAACUAAACCCCAUCUGAUCAACUGUUCCUUCUCUAAAUAAUGCUGUGUGCUCCUAAACUAAACCCCAUCUGAUCAACUGUUCCUUCUCUUUAUCUCAGAUAUCAGUUCUGAGUCCGACUUGUGAAAAGGGAGAAUAUUAUCAGGCGUCUUUGUGAUCCAUGAACAUUGAUAGUUUUACAAUAAAAACAGGUUGUCUGAACAAUGAGGCGAAGUCAGAGAGAGAGAGUGACUUCCGAAUGGUAACCCAUAUAUAUAGUGCACAAUGUUUAACCUGUAUAGUGACUCAGUGUCCCUAGCAGGGUGUCACGCCAUUAGGGACUCAGUGUCCCUAGCAGGGGGUUCCAUUAGGGACUCAGUGUCCCUAGCAGGGGGUUCAAUAAGGGACUCAGUGUCCCUAGCAGGGGGUUCAAUAAGGGACUCAGUGUCCCUAGCAGGGUGUCACGCCAUUAGGGACUCAGUGUCCCUAGCAGGGGGUUCCAUUAGGGACUCAGUGUCCCUAGCAGGGGGUUCCAUUAGGGACUCAGUGUCCCUUGCAGGGUGUUUCAUUGAACUUUGGCUGUCUACCUGGGAGUCUCUUGAGUGAAAACAUCCGAAGUUCAUUAAAGGUAAACGAUUUAAUUUGAUUGCUUUUCUGAUUUCCGUGACAAGUUUGCCUGCUGCUAGCAAGGCAUAAUGCUAUGCUAGGCUAUGAUAAAUUUACACAAAUGCUUGUCUAGCGUUGGCUGUAAAGCAUAUUUUGAAAAUCUGAGAUGACAGGGUGAU